GUAUGAAGAAAACAGUUAAAUUCACAUGAGAGAGUUGAACAGUCCUGCAAGUGAUCUGAACAACAACUGCUCUGGAAUGACACAAAGACUUGUAAAUGACCCUGUAGCUCUGUUUACUCUGGAAAAGAUUCAUCUCUUAUUCCAAGACAACUUCACUGGUAUGACAAUUAAGAUACCUGUGAUUUUUUACACUUGGUACUAGCGGAAGAACCAAAUUUAUUUUAGAGAACAGAUGCUUGGCUCUUCCUGACAGCACUGGAAGAUACAGUAUCAUCCUUGGAAAACAACAAGUAUAAAAGCAUAUAUAAAAAAGAUCAGAAAUCAAAUACUUUUUCUCAAGCUGUUGAAAAUCAAUGUUUUAUAUUAACUACUAAGCAUUUCUGUGUUAUGGGAAAAACAAAUAAAAUAUAAGAAAACAUGAUUUUUAAA